UCUUCGUUAGUACAGGGGUUAGUAUAUCCGCUUUUCAAGAACAGUUGGUUUUGAUUUGUCGCGGACGACCCGGGUUCGAAUCCCGGACGGAGAA